rnacentral:rRNA from 1 species
AAGUCUAAAACGACUCUCGGCAACGGAUAUCUCGGCUCUCGCAUCGAUGAAGAACGUAGCGAAAUGCGAUACUUGGUGUGAAUUGCAGAAUCCCGUGAACCAUCGAGUCUUUGAACGCAAGUUGCGCCCCAAGCCUUCUGGCUGAGGGCACGUCUGCCUGGGUGUCACAA